AGUCUGUGUAUGGAAGGACUAGGUAUUUACUCCAGUCUGCACAGACUGGCUUUGUCCCCAUCCUUUCCGGAGUCUAUAAGCCAUUACCGUCUCUUGGCCUUGGGUCACUGCCGCUGUUUCAGCACUAGAUGGCACCUUAAGCCCAGGUUUGCCGCAAGUCCAUGGUUUGUGUAUUGCCACAUUUUCAACACUAGAAGGCGUCCUGAGCCCAGGUGUGCCUAAGACCUAGUUUCUGAAGGACCCAGAAAGCUUCGGGAAGUUUCCGCCUCGGGCUUGAGCGGGGCCAGAAGCUGUAUUUCGACGUUGUAGGGUCUACAUAGCUCUGGGCUUUACUGUGGUGGGUCCAGCACUGGGCUCUAAGGCAACGUUCUGUGAUGCUGCCUCUCUCUGUGCCGGUGGCCUGGGGCUGGGGGAGGCCACCACCACUGCCCGAUACUGGCUCGCACCCGGAGUCCGCAGCCUCCGAGACCAGCCCGGCACAGGGCUACUCCCAGGCCCAUGCGGCUGCGGCCUGCCUGCCACCAAGGCAGCUGGCCCGAGGCGGCCCAGAGCCCCAGGCUGCCCCACCGGGCCACGGGCCCCGCCAGAGACUCAGUCCGCAGGCUCCGGCCUGUGGUCUUCCGGUUCUGCCACACGGAGGAAACCAGCCAGUGUCGCGUUUCACGGUGGCUCGUGCAGGCCAGUGCUGAGUUCCAAGGCAAAGUCCUGCCCUGAGCUCCCCUUCCCCAGAGAACUCCGCUGGAAGGUACCUUCACAAGCGCUAAGGAAACCAGCGCCAGAGCCUUCAAACCAAGGCAGUCACAUGUCUCUGAAUAUUCAAGAUAAUCAGCCUUUCCACUGGAGAGCUUCCCAGAUGAGAAAACAGAUUCAGAGAAGUUAAGUAACAAGCUCAAGAUCACAGCAUUAGUAAGUAAAAAAACCUGGAUUUAAAUCUAGUUCUGACUCUAAAGCUCAAGUCCUUAGACACUGUUACACACAGACACCCUCCCUCUCUCAGUCACACACACACACACGCACAUGCACAUACACACAUGUGGAAUUUAUUUGGCUUGAGGUUUCUAUGUGGCACAUUUUGAUAAGUUUGGGAAGAAGAGGAAUAGUAAAACAGGAAGAGGAAGCAGAGCAUAGAGGGAAGGAAUUUUUGAUAACAGGUGAGACCUGGUAGAAUUAGUUCACCUUUAGAUUCUAAAUUAUACUCAGGUGUCAUUUUUAAGGUGGUCAGUGAGGAUACGGCCUGAGGCAGGAAAGACUGUGUGAUAAUUUUGGUAAUGGCUCGCAGUUAUUACACCCAAGAAGCCAAAUCUUCUAGAACUAGUUCAGGGCUCCAGGAGGCUGAUGCAAUGUAAGUGGCCUCAGCCUUCUGGCUCUCAGACAAAGGGGUGACACAGUAGUAUUUCAAUAACUCCUUUUUUCUGUGUGUGGGUAAGUGUGAAUAUCUCCAUCCCAGAAAGGGAGAAGCUGGUAUAAUAUUGGAGGGCAAGGUCUAAACUUGGAUCUGGACACAAUUCAUUGAAGCUCCAUUAUUUCAAAACAACUAUCCAAAAAUUGUCCUGAUUGUGUAUGCAGGUAGAGGUCUGAUCCAUUCAGAAAGUAAAAAGUCCUUUUUAGGCAAGAUUGUUCCAACCAACCUAAUCUAGGAAGAGAGUUUACCAAAGCAAUUACCUUGAGAUUAUGUACAUUGAAAUGUAUACAAACUGUAUAUACUAGACUAUUGAGGGAAAAUUAGCAAAUGAUUAUGACAAAUCUAUGAUCCUUUGCAAUGGGCACCAUUACAAAUUAUCACAGAGUGCCUGCUUCAGAGAUACAGCCUUUCUGUUUAAUUUCCAGAGUACUUUUUUUUGGUUUUAGGUGCUGAUUUUGGUGCUGAAAACAUGACUCAAUAAUGCUGGAAAUUAAAUUCAGAUAAUAAGUUUAUAGUGCAUUGAUGUACAUUAUCUCAUUAAAUCAAUUUUGAGAAUUUGAAAGGGCAUGUAUGUUUGGUUCUAUUUUAAAAGAAAGGAAUGACUUUUUAGUGUUUUUUACAUUGUCACUUGUGUUGUGAGCCUUGUCAUCCUUCCCUUCAGUUUCUAAGUUCAUGGAAGUUUAAUGAUAAUGCCUUUUCUCCCUACUGUAUUAGAUUCCUGCACCAUUUAAAAUCAGGAUACUGAUGUAAAUCUAAUUAACAAAAAUCAAAAUAUGCAAAUCUAUCUCAUUAAUUAGAACUAAAAAUUUAGAAUCCCUAAUUUCAUGUUCAGUUUCCUAUUGCUUCUCACUUUCUUUGUCUUUCCCACUGUAAUAAACUAGUUUGCACCAAAAUAAUAGUUUUCCAAGUCCUACAGCUGUAAGUCAUAAAGCAUUAUGACCAAACCAUAGUAUUUAUGUGGAGUGAUAAAGUACCAUCUGAGUGUCAUGUUUCUGUUCAUCUAAAUACUUAAUUGGCCAACCAAUUUAAAAGAAACUCAAAACCAUGGGAUCAUAUUAUGGCAAUAAUCUCUUAUGUGGAACUUUAUUAUAGCUGUGCAGAACCUAUGUCUAAUAUGCUUGAAUAGGCAAUUUUAUUCCCCAACAAUACACUAAAAACAUAAAGGUUUAUAAUGGAAAAAUACAUAUGCUUAUGAGAAAUAUCUGUUUACACAGAAACACUGCAAUUAGUGGAUCCAGCACUCAAACUUCUGACAAGUUUGUGGACUUUCUAAGUGCAGCUUAGGGUUUUAAAUUCUAUGCUUUCUUCCAGUUAUUACCAUAUUUUAAAUUUCCUCUUUCCUGCCAAGCUUUUUGAAAGAGAAAUUGAAAUUAACUAUUUCUAUUGCCUCAUUUUCCAUUAACUCCUCAGUGAAUUACCAUCUGCCUGUCGUUCCAUCGAUCUUCUUGGCAAGGUUAUACAUGAACUUUUAGGUGGCCAUGCCAAAAGGAUACUGUUGAAGGCUUGUACUUCUGAUGGUGCUACAGUUGUUGACACUACUCAUAUGUCCAUUUGAAACUUUCUUUUUCCUUGGUAUAUGUGGUGAUCUUAUCUCUUGAUUUCUUAUCUUUUUACCUGGAUGCUCUAGUGUAAUCUCAUUAUUGAGCUCAACUUGGCAUACUCUUAAAUUUGUGGCACGAGGGAGUCUAUUCCUGACCUUUACUUUUCUCACUUUAUUCACAUUUUUAUCUAUUCUAAUUCUUUCAGUGAUUAACCUCUGCACUUGAUGACUCCAACAUUUCUACAUAGUUUUAUGUCUUUGUCCUAGACUUCUCUCAGAUCACAGAUUCAUAUAACUAGUUGAUUACUGAAAAACUUCACAUAACUAUCUCAUUCACUCAUCCUUAUGUCAGUGCACUCAUUCAUUUACCAUAGCUUUUUGUAGGUCCCACAGGCAUACGUUAACAUUAAAAUCAGACUCCUCAUUUUGCCCCUGCAAUAGCAUCUAUUUAUUAUUCUUUUUCUGUCUGAUGGCUGGAAAUAUUCUCUUCUUAGUUAUACAAGUGAAAAAACAUGGUAAUAUAUUUGAUUUAAUGGUAAACUGUGCUCUUCAAAGGGGGAUACCUGGCCUGGGUAGUUUUGAAGUCUUUCCAAGUGUUUCUAAUGUAUAUCCAGGAUUAAGAGCUCUGUGUAGAUUAGUGCUUUAGCAAUUUUGAUGUGCACAAGGAUUACCUGGGAUCUUGUUAAAGUGCAAAUUCUGAUGAGGCAGGUCUGCAUUGUGGCUUGAGAUUCUGCAUUUCUAAUAAGCUUCCAGAUGACAUAUGCUUUUGGUUUGUGGAAAAACGUUGACUAUUAAGGCUUUAGGUAAUUCCGUGAUAAUAUCACCAGUUCACCUGCCCUCUCUUAGUUUGUUUGGUGGAAUAUGUGGAGCAUUUCAAAGACAGGAUGUGGAUUCUUUCACCUAUGCUUUUAACAAUAUACCUUUUUGGUGAAUUAGGUAUUAUCUCAGCCUUUCUCUUUUCUGCACAAGUAUUUUCAUCUCUCAUUCUGAAUUAAAAAGGUACCAGGGACUUUGGCUAUGGGAUUUUUAAAAGCUGCUUAAAAUACCAUCAUUCUGUACAUAGAAUAUCAUUUAGGUCUUGUCUUUCCAUCUCUAGCCUAAACUCAUACUUCUUUUCCUUUGGGCCGUUCAUCCUCUGAAGCUGGACCAUUUAUACAUCAAUAUAUGUAUCAUUAAUUCACAGGCCCCUGUGCUUUUAUAUAUGCUUUUCCUUUGCCAGGAAUACUUUACUUUACAUACUACUUAUCUUUCAAAUUGCAGCUCAGGUAUCAUUUUAUUUUGAGUCAGAUAUUAUUCAUGUGCUCCCAUAAUGCCCUUAAUUACUUCUAUCAACGACACACUGUUGCUUUGUAGUUUUCAGUGUACUUGGUUUUCUCUUCAUUAACUGUGAAGCCCCUGAAGAGAGUACCCUAGAACUUUAGUGCAUAACAUGAUGCCUGGCAUAUUGAGAGAUUCAGUAAUUUUCUGUGGAAUAAAUUGCAGCCAUUGUUUGAAAUUUAAGAUGAUAAAUUAAUUUACGUAUUUAUUAAUCAAGCUCUAGAGCUUUAUGCAUUUCUAGAUAUUUAUCCUGCCAUACUCUAGUCAGAUUAGGCAGCAAUAUUGGAGUAAAUAAGCAUUAAACAGAGCAAUCAUUCAUAUUAGUUUAUGCCUUGAUAGUUCAUAGGUCAUCAGCUCUUGAGUUGAUGAGCUUGCUUCCUGGUCUGUUUCAAUUCUCAAAUAUUUUAAGGUUCCCUGGUAGGUAAAUCUGUAGCAAAAAUAUAGGAACUUUGGAGUUUUCUAAGAAAAGGGGGCUUAAGCCAUGAGCUUUAUUUCAAAGAUUAUUCUUUCUUUACCAACACAGCAGUUCCCAGUGUCUGCCUAAGGAAUAAGAAAUGGAUUCACUCAUGAUGAUUAACGGAGCCUCAGCUCCUGUCUUCAUCCCAGGGAUGUUCUUAGUCACGACAUUGGGCUCUCAACAUCCAGCCUGAUGACAUUGAUCUUGGACUCAGAGGCUCAUCACAUUUCACACACUGCAGGCCACCAUUAGCCUGAAUAAUUAAGAGUUGGUUAAGUCUUAGCCUUCCAAGAUUCUGUCACGAACUUGAACACUUUAGAGAGAACUUAAGUAAUUUUGAUAACUGCAUGAACUCUUUAUUGAGAUUAACCAGAUUAGACUCUAAACAAAGAUGUUUUUAAAAACCAAAGAUUCACAAACAAGUUUUUUUCUUGUAAAACAAAAUCUCAUAAACCUGUACCUAAUGUUAAUUUAUCUUAUUCAAGAAAUCAAAAGUGAAAUAGAUAUCUAACUGCUAUUCCCUACCCUCACCAUGAGUUACUGAAAGUAUAAUGUCAGUCCUUUAAUAUCAUCAAAAUCAAUACCUUCAAACAAAAGAGACCAUUAGCUAAAAGCCUAAAGCAAAGGAACAAUCCAUUGAGAGUGACACUUCAUUUGUUUGGGUUAAAUUUAAUUGGCUUGAAUAAAAGUAAAAUUCAUCUGAUCUUUUGUUCAUUUAAAAAAUUGAAUUAUUUAACUGGUGACUUAGACAUGACUUAUCAAGUUCAGAAGAUAACACAAUUUUAAAAGUUUAAAAUUUCACCUAAGUACAACCAGUUUUCUAAAUAUUCAACAAAGUAAAUGGUGCUGCAUCACUUCACAUGCUCUAAAUCUGUUGUAUCCCAGACUAAAACUUCUGUUCUUUUUUGAGCCAGUUCUUACCAAGAAAAUGGCUGUGAACAUCCUCUUCUCUGUUAUGACGAUAAACUCCCAUGAGGAUAGGUUCUCAGACAUUUUUGUUCAAAACUCUGUUCGAGUUCAAGAAGAAAGCUUGGCGUAUAUCAGACACUCAAUAACCAUUAGAUGAGAGCUAUGAGAGUGCCUCCUUCCCUACUUCAGGAUGCUGUGUAAGUGUGAGGUGUCAGUGAACUACUUAAGAGCUCCAGUUUCUCACACAGAGCUAGUUCAUUGAUUUACUAAUAUGAAGCAGAAAGAGCUCCAUUUUCUUUUCUGUCUAGUCUGGUGAAAAGCUAAAUUAGGAAGAGCUAUAUUUUCAGCUCACCACAAUUAUGGUCCCUUUUUUGCUUCAUAUGCAUGACUUUCCCAAUCCCUUAGGGUAAAGUUCCAAAUUGUACCAUGGCUUCCAAGUUUUUCCGGAAGUUGUCUGCAUAACUCUCCAGCCACAUCCUAUUCCAGUUUUUCCUGUGUGCUCUGUGGUUCUGCCAAACAAGUCUUCUUUUAUCCACUAAACUUUUUAUUUCUCUAGAUGUUCCAUUUGGUUCAUCUAAAAAUAUUCUCCAUUUCCUUUCUCACUCUGUUCAUGUUUUUUUAAUCCUUGAACAUAUUUCUAAUAGCUGUUUUAACACCCUUAUCUUCCAAUUCCAUUAUCUUUAUUAUUUUCUAGCCUGUUUCUAUGGACUGAUUUUUCUCCUGGUUAUGUGUCAUACUUUCCAACAUAUUUGUACUUUUUCAUUGAACGCUGUACAUUGUGAAUUUUACCUUGUUGAGUGUCUGGACUUUGUUGCCUUCCUUUUCAACUUUGUUUUGUUCUGUUAGGUGGUUAGUUUAUUUGUGGUCCCAUUUGAUUCUUUUCCGGUUUAUUUGAACUUUAUUAGGACAGGUCUAGAGUAACUGUUGUGUAAGGCUAAUUUAGCCCAACUACUAUGGUAAUGCUGGUCUUCUUUUUGUUUGUCAAGCAUAUUAUAUUCUUCCUCCCCUCCCCCACUGCCCCAUCUUUGUCACAUUUUGAUCUCUCUAAGUUAGCUCUCUGUUGUUACAUACCUCCAUCAUACCUUAAACUUCCCCUUCUGAAAUUAAAUGUGUAAUUACAUAUUUAAUGACUGUCAUUCUUGCUAGAGUGUAAACUUCAUGACAGCAGGAGACAUUACGAAUGGGCAGCUGUCAUUUCACACCAAACAAAUGUGACGUAUUUCAGGACUAUGCAGAUAUAAUUUUCCUAAUGAUGACUUGGUCAUUGAAAAGAUGAGUCACUCAGCUUCCACCUACAAGGUUGGAUAUACUAGAGAUGCUAUUUAUUUCCUCUGCUAAUAAUUCCUUUUCCUCCCACACA